GUAAAAUCCAGAUAUGGGUUAUUUCCAACCUGUGGAUUCUCUUGGAGAUACUUGCAAUAUGCCAGCUCUUUAGGGAGUCAGAACCAGCGUGUCCCCGUGGAGUAAGGGAGAUGUGCAACAGCUCCUCUCCAAUACUCGAAAUAUCAAGAAAUCCCAUACAUCCCUCAGACAGGGUGGGGGACAUGACAGCAUCUUUCACAGUGGGAGUCACAAGACCAGGACUUGACAUACGAGAGAGAAAAAAAGCAUCCCCAUGGGGUGGAGGGACAGUGGCAUACACAGCCAUACCUGUGCGGUCACAAUGCCACACCUGAAAGAGGAUGGGGACAGAGGGGGAGCCCGGGCUUCUCGUUCAUCUGCUGGUUGCUGUGUUUGCUUUUCAGAGUAGCAAAGCAAGCCGGAUGGAAAUUCAUCUUCGGCCCAUUACACACAGCUUCCCAGAUCCGCAGCCCUUUUCUAACCUCAGGAAAGCUGUGUCAGCCUUCAUCCUGUGCACGGUAGCUAAGCAACUCAAGGCAAAAACUCUAGGUCGUUCAGUCAGCAAGAGGCAGUGUGGUGCUGGGUCCCAAGGUCCAAUGGGGGAAAAUAUUCAAAGGCGGAAAAGGAAGCUCUUUCAUUUGUAGAGAUUUCCAGGGAUGGAGGCCAAUGCUCCUGUCCAUCCUUUUGUGAUUAAGAUCCUCAAGGCCCGUCUCUUACCUCAAGGGAGGUAAGAGAUGGGCAAGCUUGUAGGAAUGGUGAGGAUAAAGUACUGGAAUGGCUUCUCCCUCUUGUGCCCACUGGGAGAAGUUUGCAUCACCCCUCAACCAAGCGAAGAGAUAUCAGUGGAGACCCUGUGUUUCCAGAGAUUAGAACAUCACCAGGGACUAGGGACCCUUUCCCAAAGCAGUCCAGUGUAGUACGUUCCCCAAGACUACAAGAUAUCCAGAAUCGGCUCAGAAACUAACAGGGCCACAGAGGCUAAACCAGCUCCUACCCAAAUGCUUCACACUCCUAACUUAACCCACAACCUCUGAGUCCCUCUAGAAGCCAAUGUAACCAAGAGAUUCCAAACCACAGGGCAUCCUACCACAGGGACCUCCUACCCAAGCUCACUCAGGAAAACCCUGGGCUUAAUCAGCAGGGGUGGCCCUUACUAAAGCUACUGUGCCAACCUUUCCCUGAUGAGACACACAGUAGAAAUUAGCCAACUAGAAGAAAACUAAUUUCUUGUAUCUGCCUGUGGAGAUCUUCCAUAUCUUGGCCAUCAGGGAUAAAGGGUUAUUUGAAAAUGGCCUUUAAGGUUGCCUGUCCUCAGACUAAAUAUGUGUUGGGCAGGGAGGGGACUGUGGUUAGGACUUUCCCAACAAGCUAUAGUGUGCACAGAGCAGGCACUCCUCAGAACUGCAUUUCUUAAUUGUCCAGCAGACCAGCCUCAGGACCGGAAGGGAUCUGAGUCUGUUAGAGUGGAGACAGGGUAAGGAGCUCCUCUCCGAGCUUGGUCCACUGGCUCUGGAGAUCCCAGGUGCCCUGUAAAUUCAGGAAGAGGCUCAUGGCCUGAUGUCAGCUGCCUGAGCAGUGCCACCAGUCUGGCUUAGAACAGGAUCCAGGUGGAUAGCCUUCCCUUUUUCCUCCAUGCUCUUGCUAAGGAUAGUGGGGAAUCUGACUAUUCAAAAAGAUAUGUGGGCCAAAGGAACCCUGCCUGACAGCUCUCAAGUGGACCAAACUCCAGGAUCCAUUUCCUGUUCUCUAGCACUUUAAACCCAGAUUCACAGCCAAGCUCCAUCCCGGCUGUCCCUAGAGAUCCUACAGUCUCUCCUACUGAGAGCUGUGUGCUCCAAGGACCCAGCAGAGCUUUCUCCUAGACCAUCAACAAACACAAACCUAAGGUUGCUUGUGAACAGGCUGACCUACCCUCCUCCAAAGGUGGGCAUCUAGCUGACCAAAGAAAAACCUGGUGUGACUUCUUUGGGGAAUAGCUAAAAGCUAAAACUGUUGUGACAUGUGCAGAGCAAGGGGGAGACAAAAAGAGUUUGUCUCCAAUGCUGUCAGUGGGAGUGGAAGCCUGAGCUAGGAUGUGAAGAACCUCUGGCCAGAGGAGGUUCUUUCUCUGCAAAAGCCUGACUCUGGGCCACAUCCACCAACUAGACCAUGGCAGAAGCUGGCUCCUAGAGGCUGAACCCAAGUCUCAGUGGGUGCCCACUCAGCCCAGGCAUGAGGCUCCCUCCUUCCCACAUCAGUUACUGCCCACUCCUGAGCAUGCCCUGCCAAUCACAUUACCCUGACCUCCCCACCCCAGAAAUCCAAAACCAGCAUUUGGAAACGCAAUCUCAGAUCACCUGGCUGCCUGACGUGCUACAAUCAGGUACCGCCAUUCAUCAUCCCCUGGACUCUGAUGCUAAAGAUGAACACCUUCCACAACAUCUCUAAGCUAAGGGUAUGUACCUUCUAUGGUGGCCAAUUGCGUUCUCCCCGACCUCCAGAAGGUGGCAAUAAUUAGAUGUUUCCACCUGCACAUCACAUGAAAAUACGUUCCAAACGGAAACCCACAUACGGAGAGCCAAACCUUUCCCCGUGGUAGGAUGCUGAACAGGGUCCCCUGGAAUGUUUUAACAUUUACGGCUGAUAAUGCAACCCAAAGACUGGGCCAGGGUGAGGCUGGUUUUUCAGCCCCUGCAGACCAAGUGCAUUGCUUUGCGCAUAUCCAGCCCCCUGCCAAGUGCUUCAGCCAGUACUAGCUUGCCCAGCGCUCGCUCUUGGCAGGCAAGAAAUGUGUUCAUCUGCCUCCAGGGAAAAGGUAGCCAGGGUGGACAGGCAUAGCGGACACACAGUGGCAGCUAGGGCGGACAUCUUUUUCCCUUGCCUGACAGAAGGGCUCAAGUGCUCCUAAGCGCUUGACCAUUUGGUGCAAAAGCACAGCUUUGUCUGCUUCCGCAAAUGCCACGUGGACCUGACACACUGGAUGACGACUCUGAAGACCUGGCCUGCCGUACCCUAAUACAACGUCUCCAUGCUGAGCUGCUCUCCCCACUCUCUACAUGGGAAACCAAACCAAAACCUCUGAAGGGGAAAGGUGGAGUCCAUUCUCCAGGACAAGUGAGAAGGACAGAAGAGAAGGACCCCCUGGAGCCUUCCUUAUGAGACAGAGUGCUGUUCCCCAGCACUGUGGACAAGCUCGGGCUGGUGCCUUGAAUUGGCUAGGGAAGCAUGAUCCCCGACAGUUUGGGCGGGCACAAGGUUGGCUGGACAUGCAACAUCUGCAUUUCUGUAGAGAGCAGACUCGUGUCCACUCCAGAAGAGGAUCUGUCAAGUCUCAGAGCCAUAAAGGUGGGGUUAUUUUUUCCCCACCUUUAAGCCAGUAUAGCAUUCCAGAACAUUUGGGCCUCCCCAACCCCCCUAAAAUUAAUUUAAUAUGAUUCCCCCAAACAAGUAAUUAGCCUUUGAGAACACUCUGCUUUAGAUUUUGUGGGAAGAGAGAGCCAGCUGAGUCUGGAGAGGGAAGUACCCCUCUGAGGAGAUGGGCCAUCCCUCAAGCCAUUCUGGGUGCUUUUGAAUCCACACAGGCACAGCAACCAGCAGGAGGAAGAAGAGAGCUUGAGAGGAGGAGAGAGAUGCUCUCUGGACAGGGGCCCUUUAAAUGAGAUCAUUUCGUAUGCAUGGAACUAGCUCUGAGGCCACAGGGCCUGCAGGAGAGUGACCCCCACUCUCUUGCCACAGGUCACUCUGCAAAGAAGUUGCGGGGGAGGGACACACUGCUUGGUUCCUUGCCAGGCUGCCCUGGUCCACAUGCCAAGAGCAAUUAGCCAGGGGGAGGACGACUCCUGUGGAGUGGCAGAGGCCAUGCUGCAGCUGGGCAGAGGGGCCCAGCUAGCCCAGGUCUCCAGGGGCUUCUUCAGGAGCUGAA
rnacentral:sRNA from 1 species